rnacentral:piRNA from 1 species
UUUAUUCACCAUGGAAAAUGG